rnacentral:sRNA from 2 species
UGCCUGCUUCACCUCAAAGAGAAGAUAAACAACACAACACAGCUCUAUCAGUGAAUAAUGAAUGCUUGGUGUUCACGAUUUCUCUUCAUUCUGUUAUGUUAAAAGCCGUUGUGUUGAUCUUUUUAUAAUGAACCAUUAUAAAACUCAAACAACAUAUCCCCUUUUAUCCUUUUCUCUGGAUUAGUAGGGCGACCUCGAGUCAUCAGUCCCACCAUCAUCUCAUAUACCAGAUACCGACUACAGCCAUCGAGCAGGGCGAGGCUUGACUAAUUGGGUCACGGAACUAGUCGAAAUGUCACUUCAAACCCCCUCCCCUGGCUGGAUGGAGAGACUGUUGUCGUCCAAGCAGUACAGCGACUGUGUAAUAGAAUGUCAGGGCGAGAGUUUUUAUGUUCAUAAAGCCGUGGUGUGCACGCAAUCCCCGGUUAUUGCAGCUGCAAUGGACGGACAGUUUCGAGAAGCGAGGACGGAAGUGAUGCACUUGUUCAGUUUCGAUGUUGAGACUGUCAAGCGCAUGAUUGACUAUCUGUACACCGGCCAAUUCAAUGGAGAUCUAAAAAGCGAAGAAGUGGAUAGCGCCACUACCAUAGAAGCCGGGGAUAGCUCGUUUUCUCAAGAUGAUGCACUGUUAAGCAUCCGUCUACACAUGCAUGCCAUCGCAGAUUAUUUGGAAAUAUCGGGGCUUAGAGAGCGUGCAAUUGAGAGCAUCUGUCACGUUCUCGGCAUCAACUGGUCUAUUGAGAGAUUUUUGAGUGCGAUGAAUACAAUACUGGCGACCUCUCAAGACGCGGACAUGUAUGAAGCCAUGGCGAGCAUAGCUGCCGAUCAUAUCAAAGAGUUGCUGGACUCGGAGGAGUUCAUCCACCUUGAUAUGCCGAAU